CAGGCAUGGUGGCGUGUACCUGUAGUCCCAGAUACUCGGGAGGCUGAGGCAGGAAGAUCACUUGAGCCCAGAAGGCAGAGGUAGCAGUGAGCCAAAAUCGUACCACUGCACAAAGAAAGAAAGAAAAGAAAGUGGAAGGAAAGCAGUCACCCUUAGAAGGGAGGCAAUGUGCACAGGGGAGACCCACAGCAGGAAGGUGACCACUAAUGUGUCAGGCCUUGAAAGGACUACAAUCAAAUGUUACACACCUAAGUGAGCCCAAGCUAGAAGAGUCAGAAGGUGAAAAUAACAGCCUCCCAAUGACAUCACUAGGCCAUCAUUUCUCAACCACUGGGAAGCCAUGGGCCCUUUAAAAAUUAGAUGAGCUUUAUGAGCCCAAGUUCCACUCAAUACCCUUGAAGCCUAUCCAGGAAGGAUCCUUGGCCCCCAGUUUUAGAAAUACUUAUGAACUGGAGAGAAGCCACCCAAGUCUUCUGAUCCAUCUUUCCCCUUUUCCCCUGUGAACACUGAGACUUCAUUACUCUAGGUGGACUGGCUAGCUCUCUUCCCUUCUGAAUCCUGCUCCUUCAAGUAAGCCUUUCAUCUGCAGAAGAUUUCAAAAAAAUAAAAGACCGAAUUCAAGGUAAACCUUGGGUAAUGGUGCUCUGAAGUGCAGUGGUGUCUAGUUAUGGAAAGGAACAAACACCCCUGCCC
rnacentral:lncRNA from 10 species